rnacentral:lncRNA from 1 species
CAGGUCCAGCUGUGCUCCAAGAUUAUCUUUCCUUCUAUAGCUCACUAGACCUUCUUAUGCUCACAGGAGUGCCAUCCCUCACUCCAGAGCCAUCCUCAGAAUUCUAAAGCAGAAUUAGAAAAAUCCUUGCUCUACCAGCCUGGGCAACAUAAGGAGAUCCUGCCUCUACAAAAAAUGAAAUGUAGUCCCAGCUACUCAGGAGGCAGAGGUAGGAGGAUCACUGGAGCCCAAGAGUUCGAGGCUACAGUGAGCUAUGAUCGAGCUGUUGCACCCCAGCCUGGGCCACAGAGCGAGACCCGCCUCUAAAGCAAUAAUAAUAGUGAAAAAUUUUUAAAUAAAUAAAAAAGAAAAAUUCUCACUCUUUAGCUAUUGAAUUUUGUGGCGGUGAUUUCUUCAGAAACUGCCUCUUCCCACCCCCACUCCACCCACAGAGAGGAUGAGCUACAUCCGUACAGAGCCUGGCACUCCGGAUGCUGGCGGAAUUGAUUCAGUAGCAUGAGCAGGAAGGUCCAUUUGAAGAGAUCACUCCAAAACAGCGGUUCGCAACAAGAAUGGUUCAUGCAGGACAGAAAAAGGAGAGACAAAGGACUGUCAGGAGAGUGACCGGUCCAAAUGAGGACUCAGGAACCCCCAGUGGAUCCAGAGAGAAAAACACUCUGGGGCUUUCUUCCAUGUCCCGUUGGCCAGAGCAGACCCUGGAAAGAAGCCCUCCCCAAGGCGCCUUGUUGACUACGGCCAAGACCUGGCCCAGUGCUGGACACCAGUCUAUGUCAAGAAAGGCACAAAAAGGACCAACAAAUAAUACUGACAUGGUGCUUUGGAUCCAGGAGGCCUUGCGGUACCAGGAGAGGAAUACUGAUGGUCCCAUCUGGAGAAUGGGAAAGGUGAGGCAUUGAGAGGGUGAAAUACUUUCAGGCAUAGUUGAGGGGGUACCAGGAAAUUUAACGGGGAGACUCUAUUUCCUGGGGGCAGGUGGAGAAGGUACACGGCCAUUGAUAGUGAACACAACUCUCAACAAAGAGGUAAUUCCAGCUCUUCGGCCACCACAGUAAAGCAGCCAAGGAUACCCUAAUUGUCCUCAGAGAAGUGAUGAUUCCUUCACAGAGGGAAUCCUACACUCCAAACUCUCUGGGGCCCACCCUUGAGACUGCAUGCAGGGCUGGAGAUUUAGGCAGGAACAGCCUGGGCAGGCACGUAAGGUAGCUCUGCUUCUUAAGGCAUGACUGCUGUCUUCAUGGAGUGGGCCCCACCCUGCAAGGAAGCUUAAUGGAAUAGAACACUGCUGCCAAAGGAAUCCACCCCCUCCAGGGGCUGGGGGCUUCUAUUAAAGCUAAACAGCAUCACCAAACCAACCAAUUUCCUGUGCCGCUUGGUAGAAUAAGGAGGGAGGGGGCAAAGGACAAAAAUCGAACAUUAUCUGCAGAUGAUUGUCUAACUAGAAAAUCCAAGGGACUGAACUGAAAAACUAUCAAAACUGGUGAGAAUUUGGUCAGGUGGCCGAUUAAAAGUCAGGUCUAAAAAAUCAACUGUUUUUUGGAUCAUUUGGGCAUUGCUUGACACCCUGGAGGAGCUGUGUUUUUCUGCGAGGCCUCCGCGCUUUGUGCAGCUUGCCAUAUUUUGAAAGAUGGAGGUGAGCCAGGGUGAUGUUCCCUCAGCAGUAGCAACUCUGUCUCAGACACCAAUGUCGAACAGGUGCCUGGGGCAACUGCUGCAGAAGGGGUGGGGACAACCACCUCUGCCCUCUCCUGGGGGUCUCUCUCACCAGUCCUGAUCAGCCCCUUUCCCCCAAGCUUCUCUAUUCCAGCCCAAGAGACACAUAGGGAAGUCUGGCAAGGGUCAGUGCAGGAGCCAUCAAGGGUGGAUGCGGGCAGAUUGUGCUGUCAUCUCCAAACGAAGUAAGUUUUAAAAACAAAGAGGGCCAGCUGAUAGGUCCCACAUGUCUGUACUGUUGUUGCCUCAUUGGUCAGAAGCCUUGAGAGGCCACCGCGCUGCGCACUGAGCAGGGACUCCCACGAUGGUCAAAGUGGUCCAGGGAGGCCCCACGGGGCUGUGCUUGCCAAUCUGACUAGCGAAGAGUUGCAGUUAUUUGCGGUCCAGGCUGGCGUGUAGCUGGGCUUCCCGCACCAUACGGUCGAAGGAACGUGUGUUGGUCUCCUCCCGCACCUUCUCGCGCACGUGGAAGGAGGCCCGGGCUGUGGAGCGGGAGCUCUCUAGCGCACUGCGCCGUUCCCGCGACAAUUGCUCGCUGCGCUCCAGCUUGCGCCCGAUGGCCUGGAGUAGCUCUCGCCGGCGGCAGUCUUCGUCCCUCUCCACCUUCUCUUUGUUGGCACGCUGGGCUCGUUCCUUCUCCAGCCGGCUCUGGCCCACGCGCCGCGCCUUCUGCUGCACUGCUUCCUCGGCCACCUGCGUCGCGUGCUGCAGCCGUCGCUCCCCCGCCCGGGCC